CUAGUCACUGCAAAUUCAUCAGAGGCUCUGUACUUUCAUUGUUUUAACAUGUUUCAUAUUAUAGUUCAAUAGCUAGUCUAGUAAUUCAUCAAAUACCAAGCACUGCACUAACAUAUAAUAAUCCCAAAAUAUAGAUGCAAAGUCUGAUACUUUCAAGUACACAUCUCAUUAGUUCUCACAAGGUCCAGCCUUCACAAAACGAAUUUAAAAAGUUCCAGCAAGUUUCAAGGUGACUGGCUCUCUCUACCAGAGCGUUGAUUACGAAACUCACCUUCAUCCUCAUCAUCUUCAUGGUUCCUCUGGUACUUGGGACUCGGACUUCGACUUCCACCAUUAGCUUCAGCAGGGCUGUCAUCAUCAUACUUUCGAGGAGCUGGGCUAUCCCUUCUAGUACUUGAAGGACUGACGCUCCUCUCUCUGGGGCUUUGGCUAUAGGCACCUUCUUCUCUCAUUGGUGAAGAAGGGCUCUUUGCUUCCAUCGGGCUUCCCUCUUCAGGUGUUGGGCUGCGCUUCCUAGUCUUGGGUGGAGGGCUUGGACUAUCCUUCCUUGGCUCGGGGCUCCUACUGUAGCUUCUUGAUCGCUUGACCUGGUCGACUUGUUCUCUCUUUGGUGGCGGGGAUCUUGAUUGACUAUAGCUGCGACUUCUGCUAUAACUUCGACGAGGAGAACGUGAACGCGAACGUGAGCGUGACUUUGACCUAGCAGGCGACCGUGAGUAGCUGCGUCUACUGAGUUUUUUAGGACUAUUUGGGCAUUUUCUUUCUAUAUGACCUCUUUCUCCACAUCGAUAACACUUGUUCUUCCAAUCCCCAGCUUUGCAAUCUCGAGCCCAGUGACCUUCAAGACCACAGUUGAAGCAGCGACCUGACCCAGGAGCGGGUCCUUUGCCAAGAUACUCACGCGAACCGCCUGGUCCACGUGGCACACCCUUGGCAAAUUCCACAAUUAUGCGGCGUCCAUCAAUGUCACGGCCGUCUAAAUAGUAUCUUGCAUCAUCAGCAUCUCGAGGAUCACUAAAUUCUACGAAGGCAUAGUCGUGCUUCAUGUCCACAUCCCGUACUCUGCGGAAAUGGUUGCCAGAAACAGUAAGGCCAUCAUUACUUACUUAAGCACAGGAAGUUCAUGAACACUUGCCCCUCAAGACGAACUAUACACCAGUUUGAGAUUGUUGGGAAUUCCAUAAAAAUACGCAAAGACAUUAUAGAACAGACCACCAAAGUCUCCUAAAACCGGGCAAGACUCCACCAAGUCCAUUAAAGAAAGAAUCACCGAAUUCUCCUAAAACCCGGCAAGACUUUCCAUCAAAUCCACCAAGGCCACCCUCUCAAGAUUGACCUUCAGGCCAGGCAAAUGCCUCCCAUAUUUACUGAAUGCACGCUCCAGAUCACGUGAACGGGUCCGUGAAGACAGGUGUCCCACAUAGAGACGAGUGCUAUUUCCCACACGAUCAUCAUAACGAGGCAUCUUUACAGCACAAUUCUCAAACCAAAUUAUCGAAAUUCCUUUGUAAUUUUUCUUUGGCUGCUUAUCGAA
rnacentral:misc_RNA from 1 species